rnacentral:misc_RNA from 1 species
AACUUUCAGCAACGGUUCUCUUGGCUCUCGCAUCGAUGAAGAACGCAGCGAAAUGCGAUAAGUAAUGUGAAUUGCAGAAUUCAGUGAAUCAUCGAAUCCUUGAACGCACCUUGCGCUCCUUGGUAUUCCGAGGAGCAUGCCUGUUUGAGUGUCAUUAAAUUCUCAACCCAUCCAGCUUGUAAAAGUUGGUAUGUGGCUUGGAUGUGGGGGUGUUGUGCAGGCCUUUAUUCUAAGGUCAGCUCCCCUGAAAUACAUUAGCGGAACGGUUUGCGAUCCGUCACUGGUGUGAUAGUUAUCUACGCCUAAGACUAUGGAACGCUCUCUGUCUGUUCAGCUUCUAACAGUCCCAUCUUGUGGACAACUUUUGAAUGUUUGACCUCAAAUCAGGUAGGACUACCCGCUGAACUUAAGCAUAUCAAUAAGCGGAGGCU